UACAGAGACUGCAAGCGUUAUUCGGAUUCACUGGGCGUAAAGGGUGCGCAGGCGGCCGGGUGUGUCAGAUGUGAAAUCCCGAGGCUCAACCUCGGAACUGCGUCUGAAACUACUCGGCUAGAGUACUGGAGAGGGUAACGGAAUUCACGGUGUAGCAGUGAAAUGCGUAGAUAUCGUGAGGAACACCAGAGGCGAAGGCGGUUACCUGGACAGUUACUGACGCUCAGGCACGAAAGCGUGGGGAGCAAACAGG
rnacentral:rRNA from 1 species